AAAAAAAGACUUGUGUUAGAUUAGCACUACAAAUCUAAUCUAAAUAAAAUAGAUACAAAAAAGUAUAGAUGAGAGAAUAAAUUAAGUGGAAAAUAAAACUAUAAUUUAUUUAGAUUUAUUUAAUCCAUAAUGGAUUCAAUCAAGUUAAGUGAGAUAAGCAAACUUGAUUUCUUUUUUAGUUUUAGUAGAGUUCCAAUGAAAAAAUGAAAACCACCCAAUUGAAAGA
rnacentral:lncRNA from 1 species